AUAUACCACAAGAUAUAAAAAUAAGCAAAUACAAUAAAAGUAAGAAGUAAACAAUGAAAAUGAAUUAGGAUUAAAUAAGAUUCAGCAUUAGGGAAAAAAACUGGAUUGAUAAUAAUUAUUGUUUGUUAUUUACUGUAUUAACACUUUGGCUGCUAUUGAGGUGCAUAAGAUUAAUUAAGAAUAGCUUAAUUACCAAUGUAAUCACAGAGAGAUAAUUACAGAUGUGAUUUCAUCAGUUAUGUUUGAAUAAAAGCACAAGGUAAGACACGAAUAAGUGCAUCGUGUCGAAUUGUCGUGGUUUGAAUGCACACUGAACUGACUCCAGUUCCCACAGUGCAGCGCGGCGGCUGGGUGUCACGUGACGUCUGCGCGUCUCCUCGCUGUGGGCUCGUCUCUCAAUCACACUGACCCGUGUGAGGAUGUGAGGAUGUGCUGCUGAUAUCAGGCUCGGGACGCGUGUGGAUGCUCGGGGCUCGGAGAAUCAAAGACCAGAGGAGCUGCAUGCGACUCAGAAACAUGUGGAUUACUUUCCAGGAGAAGGACUCACAGGACAAACAGAAACAACCUUACUUCUCACGCACUGGAUUACUGUUACUUCAUUACAGCUGAACUGGGUCCACCCUGACUUUGUAUUGCGCUUCCUGAAGAAAGGAGAAGCCCUGAUGUGCUUGUCACCCGAGCUGAUGGCCGGGGGGGCGAGAGGGAGCUCAAAUGUCUUCACUCAGUCCCUCAUCAGACACUCAAAGGAACUCUGUUUCAGCCUGAUUACGAGCCGAUUGGAUAUAAUGUUGAGCGGCGGACUCAGGAGAUGGGGAGGGAUUGGGAAACACUACAGUAGGAUUUGCAGGGAAGGAUUGUCUUUCUCCAGAUGUAGGAAAUGAGCGUCGGAGGGUUCCUGGUGCCAGGCGGCUCUCUUCUCUUGUUACAACACGGGACCAAAUUCAAACCAUGUGUCCUCGCACCCAGUUAGCUGCUUUUGCCCACCUCGAGCAUUAUCAGUCUGAACGGAUCUGUUUCACUGGCCCUCUCCAGUGCAGUGUUCUCGUUCUUCCAGCCCCAGACGAGCCUCUCCGUGGGAAUCCUGGAUUAAUAGGCUGGAAAUUUCGCAUGUCCGGUCUCCGAAGGUGUCUGUUAUCCUCCGAGGACCCCGUGCAAGCUUCAAGCUCAUAUUAUGGGAAGCUGGACGAGGUGGAUAGCAGGAUGUCAGAUGUGAUUCUUCACACAGAUUUUCAAGGUGAGUAUUGUUUGAUCAGGUUUCAGGGUUCUUUCUGUGUGAACACAGUGUGCUCCUCCAAACUCAGUCAGAAGAGACCAGCUCUUGCUAGCCACACUAAUGUCAUUUUGUUGUGA
ensembl:lncRNA